GUAAUGUGUAUUGAUAAAGGGGUGCUGACAGUGUGAUAUAGUUUGUAGUAAUGUGUAUUGAUAAAGGGUGCUGACAGUGUGAUAUAGUUUGUAGUAAUGUGUAUUGAUAAAGGGUGCUGACAGUGUGAUAUAGUUGGUAAUAAUGUGUAUUGAUAAAGGAGUGCUGACAGUGUGAUAUAGUUGGUAGUAAUGUGUAUUGAUAAAGGGUGCUGACAGUGUGAUAUAGUUGGUAGUAAUGUGUAUUGAUAAAGGAGUGCUGACAGUGUGAUAUAGUUGGUAGUAAUGUGUAUUGAUAAAGGGUGCUGCCAGUGUGAUAUAGUUGGUAGUAAUGUGUAUUGAUAAAGGAGUGCUGACAGUGUGAUAUAGUUGGUAGUAAUGUGUAUUGAUAAAGGGUGCUGACAGUGUGAUAUCGUUGGUAAUAAUGUGUAUUGAUUAAAGGGUGCUGACAGUGUGAUAUAUUUGGUAGUAAUGUGUGCUGACAGUGUGAUAUAUAGUUGGUAGUAAUGUGUAUUACGGGGUGCUGACAGUGUGAUAUAGUUGGUAGUAAUGUGUGCUGACAGUGUGAUAUAGUUGAUAGUAAUGUGUAUUAAGGGGUGCUGACAGUGUGAUAUAGUUGGUAGUAAUGUGUAUUAAGGGGUGCUGACAGUGUGAUAUAGUUUGUAAUAAUGUGUAUUAAGGGGUGCUGACGGUGUGAUAUAGUUGGUAGUAAUGUGUAUUGAUGAAGGAGUGCUGACAGUGUGAUAUAGUUGGUAGUAAUGUGUAUUGAUAAAGGGUGCUGACAGUGUGAUAUAGUUGGUAAUAAUGUGUAUUGAUAAGGGGUGCUGACAGUGUGAUAUAGUUGGUAGUAAUGUGUAUUGAUAAAGGGGUGCUGACAGUGUGAUAUAGUUGGUAAUAAUGUGUAUUGAUAAGGGGUGCUGACAGUGUGAUAUAGUUGGUAGUAAUGUGUGCUGACAGUGUGAUAUAGUUGGUAGUAAUGUGUGCUGACAGUGUGAUAUAGUUGGUAGUAAUGUGUGCUGACAGUGUGAUAUAGUUGGUAAUAAUGUGUAUUGAUAAGGGGGGCUGACAGUGUGAUAUAGUUGGUAGUAAUGUUUAUUGAUAAGGGGUGCUGACAGUGUGAUAUAGUUGGUAGUAAUGUGUAUUGAUAAAGGAGUGCUGACAGUGUGAUAUAGUUGGUAGUAAUGUGUAUUGAUAAAGGAGUGCUGACAGUGUGAUAUAGUUGGUAGUAAUGUGUGCUGACAGUGUGAUAUAGUUGGUAGUAAUGUGUAUUAAGGGGUGCUGACAGUGUGAUAUAGUUGGUAGUAAUGUGUAUUGAUAAAGGAGUGCUGACAGUGUGAUAUAGUUGGUAGUAAUGUGUGCUGACAGUGAUAUAGUUGGUAGUAAUGUGUAUUGAUUAAAGGGGUGCUGACAGUGUGAUAUAGUUGGUAGUAAUGUGUGCUGACAGUGUGAUAUAGUUGGUAGUAAUGUGUGCUGACAGUGUGAUAUAGUUGGUAGUAAUGUGUAUUAAGGGGUGCUGACAGUGUGAUAUAGUUGGUAAUAAUGUGUAUUGAUUGAUAAGGGGUGCUGACAGUGUGAUAUAGUUGGUAGUAAUGUGUAUUGAUAAGGGGGUGCUGACAGUGUGAUAUAGUUGGUAAUGUGUAUCGAUAAGGGGGUGCUGACAGUGUGAUAUAGUUGGUAGUAAUGUGUAUUGAUAAAGGAGUGCUGACAGUGUGAUAUAGUUGGUAGUAAUGUGAAUUAAGGGGUGCUGACAGUGUGAUAUAGUUGGUAGUAAUGUGUAUUGAUAAGGGGUGCUGACAGUGUGAUAUAGUUGGUAUUGAUGUGUAUUAAGGGGUGCUGACAGUGUGAUAUAGUUGGUAAUAAUGUGUAUCGAUAAGGGGGUGCUGACAGUGUGAUAUAGUUGGUAGUAAUGUGUAUUGAUAAGGGGGUGCUGACAGUGUGAUAUAGUUGGUAGUAAUGUGUAUUGAUAAGGGGUGCUGACAGUGUGAUAUAGUUGGUAUUGAUGUGUAUUAAGGGGUGCUGACAGUGUGAUAUAGUUGGUGAUAAUGUGUAUUGAUAAAGGAGUGCUGACAGUGUGAUAUAGUUGGUAGUAAUGUGUGCUGACAGUGUGAUAUAGUUGGUAGUAAUGUGUGCUGACAGUGUGAUAUAGUUGGUAGUGAUGUGUAUUAAGGGGUGCUGACAGUGUGAUAUAGUUGGUAGUAAUGUGUAUUGAUAAAGGGUGCUGACAGUGUGAUAUAGUUGGUAGUAAUGUGUAUUGAUAAAGGGUGCUGACAGUGUGAUAUAUUUGGUAGUAAUGUUUAUUGAUAAAGGGUGCUGACAGUGUGAUAUAGUUGGUAGUAAUGUGUAUUGAUAAAGGGGUACUGACAGUGUGAUAUAGUUGGUAGUAAUGUGUGCUGACAGUGUGAUAUAGUUGGUAGUAAUGUGUGCUGACAGUGGGAUAUAGUUGGUAAUAAUGUGUAUUGAUAAAGGAGUGCUGACAGUGUGAUAUAGUUGGUAGUAAUGUGUGCUGACAGUGUGAUAUAGUUGGUAAUGUUUGCUGACAGUGUGAUAUAGUUGGUAGUGAUGUGUAUUAAGGGGUGCUGACAGUGUGAUAUAGUUGGUAGUAAUGUGUAUUGAUAAAGGAGUGCUGACUGUGUGAUAUAGUUGGUAGUAAUGUGUAUUGAUAAGGGGGUGCUGACAGUGUGAUAUAGUUGGUAGUAAUGUGAAUUAAGGGGUGCUGACAGUGUGAUAUAGUUGGUAAUAAUGUGUAUUGAUAAGGGGGUGCUGACAGUGUGAUAUAGUUGGUAGUAAUGUGUAUUGAUAAGGGGUGCUGACAGUGUGAUAUAGUUGGUAGUAAUGUGUAUUGAUAAGGGGGUGCUGACAGUGUGAUAUAGUUGGUAGUGAUGUGUAUUGAUAAAGGGUGCUGACAGUGUGAUAUAGUUGGUAGUAAUGUGUGCUGACAGUGUGAUAUAGUUUGUAGUAAUGUGUAUUGAUAAAGGGUGCUGACAGUGUGAUAUAGUUGGUAGUAAUGUGUAUUGAUAAAGGGUGCUGACAGUGUGAUAUAGUUGGUAGUAAUGUGUAUUGAUAAAGGGUGCUGACAGUGUGAUAUAGUUGGUAAUAAUGUGUAUUGAUAAAGGGUGCUGACAGUGUGAUCUAGUUGGUAAUAAUGUGUAUUGAUAAUGGGUGCUGACAGUGUGAUAUAGUUGGUAGUAAUGUGUAUUGAUAAAGGGUGCUGACAGUGUGAUAUAGUUG
rnacentral:lncRNA from 1 species